UAGCAGCAAGAACACCUGUGAGCACAUCUAUGAGUUCCCCCCGCUCUCAGAGGAUCUCAUACGUGAGAUGAUCCUCCAUCCUUACGAGACGCAGUCUGACAGCUUCUACUUUGUGGACAACAAGCUG